AAAAACAUCGCCCCCUGACCUUCAUAGGGGGUCCAGCCUGCCCAGUGACCAAGUUAAACGGCCGCGGUACCCUAACCGUGCGAAGGUAGCGCAAUCACUUGUUCUUUAAAUGAGGACUAGUAUGAACGGCAUCACGAGGGUUACACUGUCUCCCCCUUUUAAUCAAUGAAACUGAUCUUCCCGUGAAGAAGCGGGAAUAAACAUAUAAGACGAGAAGACCCCAUGGAGCUUUAAACUCAGCAUCAACUGCCCCCGCCACACCAUAUAAUACAAGCAGACCCUGACCGCUGGUUUUCGGUUGGGGUGACCGCGGAGUAAAACAAAACCUCCACAAUGAAAGAAACACCUUCCUAAUCAAAGAGCUACAACUCAAAGAAUCAAUAAAUUGACAUAAAUUGACCCAAAUAAUUUUGAUCAACGAACCAAGUUACCCUGGGGAUAACAGCGCAAUCCAUUUCAAGAGCUCAUAUCGACAAAUGGGUUUACGACCUCGAUGUUGGAUCAGGGUAUCCCAGUGGUGCAGCCGCUACUAAAGGUUCGUUUGUUCAACGAUUAAAACCCUACGUGAUCUGAGUUCA
rnacentral:rRNA from 1 species